rnacentral:rRNA from 1 species
UACAGAGGGGGCGAGCGUUGUUCGGAAUUACUGGGCGUAAAGGGCGCGUAGGCGGCCAACUAAGUCAGACGUGAAAUCCCUCGGCUCAACCGGGGAACUGCGUCUGAUACUGGAUGGCUUGAAUUCGGGAGAGGGAUGCGGAAUUCCAGGUGUAGCGGUGAAAUGCGUAGAUACCUGGAGGAACACCGGUGGCGAAGGCGGCAUCCUGGACCGAGAUUGACGCUGAUGCGCGAAAGCCAGGGGAGCAAACGGG